rnacentral:rRNA from 1 species
CCACCGGUGCAAAACCGGGUAAGACCCCAGGUAGACCACCUGGUAGAUAGGCCGCACGUGUAAUGGCAGUGAUGCUUUAAGCCGAGCGGUACUAAUAGGUCGAGGGCUUGACCUG